CAGUCUUGUAGUGAAAACACGUCGAAUUGCAAAUUCGAAAACGCACCCCCCAAGGUGCCCGGACU
rnacentral:tRNA from 1 species